UGGUCUCUUUUGAUACCCCACA
rnacentral:miRNA from 1 species